AUUGAACGCUGGCGGCAGGCCUAACACAUGCAAGUCGAGCGAGCGGCGGACGGGUGAUUAAUGUAUGGGGAACUGCCCGAUAGAGGGGGAUAACUACUGGAAAAGGUGGCUAAUACCGCAUACUAUCGGAUGAACCCAUAUGGGAUUAGCUAGUAGGUGGGGGAAAGGCUCACCUAGGCGACGAUCUCUAGCUGUUCUGAGAGGAUGAUCAGCCCACCUGGUACUGAGACACGGCCCAGACUCCUAAGGGAGGCAGCAGUGGGGAAUAUUGCACAAUGGGUGCAAGCCUGAUACAGCCAUGCCGCGUGUAUGAAGAAGGCCUUAGGGUUGUAAAGUACUUUCAGCGGGGAGGCGUUACCCGCAGAAGAAGCACCGGCUAACUCCGUGCCAGCAGCCGCGGUAAUAC
rnacentral:rRNA from 1 species